UGGGGAAUAUUGGACAAUGGGGGGAACCCUGAUCCAGCGAUGCCGCGUGGGUGAAGAAGGCCUUCGGGUUGUAAAGCCCUUUAGGUUAGGAAGAAGGGUACUAGGUUAAGAGCUAGGUAUUUUGACGGUACUAACAGAAUAAGCACCGGCAAACUCUGUGCCAGCAGCCGCGGUAAUACAGAGGGUGCGAGCGUUAAUCGGAAUUACUGGGCGUAAAGGGCGCGUAGGCGGUUAUAUGUGUGUGAUGUGAAAGCCCCGGGCUUAACCUGGGAAGUGCAUUGCAAACUGUAUAACUGGAGUAUAUGAGAGGGUGGCGGAAUUUCCGGUGUAGCGGUGAAAUGCGUAGAGAUCGGAAGGAACGUCAAUGGCGAAGGCAGCCACCUGGCAUAAUACUGACGCUGAGGCGCGAAAGCAUGGGGAGCGAACAGG
rnacentral:rRNA from 1 species